GAAAUCUGGCUCCUCUGGAGUCCGAGUUGUAAUUUGUAGAAGAUGCUUUGGGUUGUGGGUUCGGCCUAAGUUCCUUGGAACAGGACGUCAAAGAGGGUGAGAAUCCCGUAUGUGGCCGAGGCCCGCGCCUAUGUAAAGCUCUUUCAACGAGUCGAGUUGUUUGGGAAUGCAGCUCAAAAUGGGUGGUAAAUUUCAUCUAAAGCUAAAUAUGGGCCAGAGACCGAUAGCGCACAAGUAGAGUGAUCGAAAGAUGAAAAGCACUUUGGAAAGAGAGUUAAACAGUACGUGAAAUUGUUGAAAGGGAAGCGCUUGCACCCAGACUUGGGCGCUGCUGAUCACCUUGCGGUCUCCGCGAGUGCACUCGACAGCGCACAGGCCAGCAUCGGUUCGGGUGGCUGGAUAAAGGCCGUAGGAACGUAGCUCCCUUCGGGGAGUGUUAUAGCCUACGGUGCCAUGCAGCCCAGCCGGACCGAGGACCGCGCCUUCGGGCUAGGAUGCUGGCGUAAUGGGUGUAAGCGACCCGUCUUGAAACACGGACCAAGGAGUCUAACAUCUAUGCGAGUGUUUGGGUGGCAAACCCAUACGCGGAAUGAAAGUGAACGUAGGUGAGAACCCCUUUGGGGCGCAUCAUCGACCGAUCCUGAAGUCUUCGGAUGGAUUUGAGUAAGAGCAUAGC
rnacentral:rRNA from 2 species